AUAUAAUAUAUUUAUAUAUAAUAAAUAAUAUAUAUAUUUAUAUAUAUAUGUGUGCAUAUUUAUAUAAACGCAUAUAUACAAACAUUUCUAUAUAUAUAAAUAUAAUUGCACACAAACACACACAUACAUACACGGUCACACACACUCACACACACAUAUAUGUCCAUGUAUGUAUACACUUUAAUAAUAGGAAGCAGUUUAUAAGUUGCCUACAUAUGUGCGCAUCGUAAACUCCUAUUAGCUUACAAUAACAACAACACCACCUUUAGGAAGAAUAUAUUAGCAACAACAACGAAAAAAGAAAAGAAAACAAAAACAAAACAACAUAACACUAAACAAAAAUAUCUUUAUUUCAAUCCAAGAAAAUAUAUUAAAAUCCCCAAACACAUUCUUUAACACACCAGUAGCAAAAAAAAUAAAAAAAUGAAAAGAAAAAUAUAAGGAAUAAAUGUAAAAUGAAAUACAAAAAAUAUUUCAUGUAAUCAAAAUAAAAUGGAAAGUUCAUAUUGUGUUGUACAGCCGGCAUUUACUUCUUAUUGUGAGUACAUCUGUAUCAGCCGGUACUUUCAUGUGGAAUUAACACUACCAUGAGAGAGAUUAUAAAGUUCGUAAGAUGGAACAAGACUCUUUGUCUUACAAGGUAAAAAAAUGUCAAUAUAUUUAUUAUUGUUGUUGUCACAUUCUUGCAGUUGUUCUUGCUGCCGUCAAUGUUUGUGUCACUGUAUGUAAGAACAGAUAUCAUUAUUCUCAUUUAAUUAUAUUUUCGAAAUAUACUUCGUUUUUUUUUAAUUAUUAUUUGCAUAUAUCUUUCUUCCCAUUCCGUCCUUUCUUCGUCUGUUUCGCUAUAUAAUCAUACAGCUGAUUGUGUUUACAGUUGAAGAUUCUCCCGAUUAUUGCUAUCCUGAUCGAAGUGCUUAUUCACAUAUUGAUCACGAUCAUCAUCAGGAUUUAUCAUCGCUGUAAUUUCCAUCCUCAUCCACG
rnacentral:lncRNA from 1 species